rnacentral:rRNA from 1 species
UACGAAGGGGGCCAGCGUUGUUCGGAAUUACUGGGCGUAAAGCGCGCGCAGGCGGUCUUCCAAGUCAGUGGUGAAAGCCCGGAGCUCAACUCCGGAACUGCCAUUGAAACUGUUAGACUUGAGGAUGAGAGAGGUGAGUGGAAUUCCCAGUGUAGAGGUGAAAUUCGUAGAUAUUGGGAAGAACACCGGUGGCGAAGGCGGCUCACUGGCUCAUUACUGACGCUCAGGCGCGAUAGCGUGGGGAUCAAACAGG